rnacentral:rRNA from 1 species
GCGGAGGAAAAGAAACUAACCAGGAUUGUCUCAGUAAGGGCGACUGAAGAGACAAUAGCUCACUAUGUGAAUCGGUGACCGAAUUGUGGUCUCACCCAUGCUAGGGGCUGGGCUAAGUCCGUUGGAACACGGCAGCAGAGAGGGUGAUACUCCCGUGUGCCUGGCCCAUGGAGUGGGUGUUGUUGAGUCGAGUUGUUUGGGAUUGCAGCUCUAAGCAGGUGGUAAAUUCCAUCUAAGGCUAAAUACUGGUGGGAGACCGAUAGCGUACAAGUACCGUGAGGGAAAGAUGCAAAGAAGCGCGGAAGCGCUGUUAAAGAGUACCUGAAAUUGCUGAAGUGGAAGCGAAGGGAACCAGUGCCAGCUGCUCCAUACUUCUCUGUUUGCUUGCGGACAGAGCGCUGUGGUCAGCGUUGUACUGCUUGGUUGGUUGGGGUGGAAGAGCGCUGGGGGAGUUGACCCCUGUUGC